rnacentral:misc_RNA from 1 species
AGCAGCCGCGGUAAUUCCAGCUCCAAUAGCGUAUAUUAAAGUUGUUGCAGUUAAAAAGCUCGUAGUUGAAUUUCGGAAUCAGUAUGUUGGUCGUGCUUCGGUACGUACUGUCAUUACUGGUUUCUACCUUCUGAAGAACCUUGAUGUCAUUAAUUUGGUGUCUUGGGGAAUCAGGACUGUUACUUUGAAAAAAUUAGAGUGUUUAAAGCAAGCAUACGCUUGAAUACAUUAGCAUGGAAUAAUGAAAUAGGACGUUUGAUUCUAUUUUGUUGGUUUCUAGGAUCGACGUAAUGAUUAAUAGGGAUAGUUGGGGGGCAUUAGUAUUCAAUUGUCAGAGGUGAAAUUCUUGGAUUUAUUGAAGACUAACUACUGCGAAAGCAUUUGCCAAGGAUGUUUUCAUUAAUCAAGAACGAAAGUUAGGGGAUCGAAGACGAUCAGAUACCGUCGUAGUCUUAACCAUAAACUAUGCCGACUAGGGAUCGGAUGAUGUUAAUUUUUUUAAUGACUCAUUCGGCGCCUU